UCUGCAUGCAGAAUUGGUUGUUAGGAGAUGAUAUUGCUCAAGAGGUAGAGGAGCCUACAAUUGAGAACACAGAGUUCUAUGAGCAGGCUGAGAAAGAUCAUGAGAGCACUGCCUCCAGCAGAAAUACACGUUCAACAAUCCCGAAAGCAAAGGGGAAGGGAAGGGCUGCAGUGGUAAAUGUUGACUAAUGAGUUUAUGAGGUUGUGAGACUGAUGUGAUGAAGUGAUGAAGGUUUUUUGAAAUGUGUUUAAUACUUCAAGACUUGUAGUUAACUAGUUUUUAUCAUGUAAUGGACUUUAAGACCUACUGGACUUAUUGUUGAAUUCAUGAAUUGGUUUUUGUGUUUAUUCAUUUAUUGAACUUAUUGUUGGUCAAUUGAAUUGGCUAUUUGCUAUGUUGCACAUUGGA